rnacentral:rRNA from 1 species
CCUACGGGGGGCAGCAGUGGGGAAUAUUGCACAAUGGGGGAAACCCUGAUGCAGCGACGCCGCGUGAGUGAAGAAGUAUUUCGGUAUGUAAAGCUCUGUCAGCAGGGAAGAAAGAAAUGACGGUACCUGACCAAGAAGCCCCGGCUAACUACGUGCCAGCAGCCGCGGGAAUACGUAGGGGGCAAGCGUUAUCCGGAAUUACUGGGUGUAAAGGGAGCGUAGACGGUUAAGUAAGUCUGGAGUGAAAGGCCGGGGCCCAACCCCGGGACUGCUCUGGAAACUAUUGAACUUGAGUGCAGGAGAGGUAAGCGGAAUUCCUAGUGUAGCGGUGAAAUGCGUAGAUAUUAGGAGGAACACCAGUGGCGAAGGCGGCUUACUGGACUGUAACUGACGUUGAGGCUCGAAAGCGUGGGGAGCAAACAGGAUUAGAUACCCCUGUAGUC